rnacentral:lncRNA from 1 species
GAAAAUGAAGAAGCGAGUGAGUAAAAAGCAGUAAUGUUUCAACCUUAGGUGAAUGAUGUUGCAACUUGGAGUAUUCUGACCCCAAGGUCGUGAUAUCACCUAUGAAUGUUGUGACAUUGCUUGUUUUCCAUCAGCCAAGGAGCCUACCAUCAACGUUGCAACGUUCAACCUUCAAUGUUGCAACACUGAGUCUUUGAAGUCAAGGUAGCGACAUUGCUUGUCACAUUAGCCCCUGACUUGGAGUUUAAGAAUCGAGCCAAGUCAAGAAAGGUCA